rnacentral:rRNA from 1 species
CUAGCCGUAAACAAUGAGCACUGGAUUGAAGGGUCCUCCAUAGCCUUUCAGUCGUAGCGAAAGUGUUAAGUGCUCCGCCUGGGGAGUAUGGUCGCAAGGCUGAAACUCAAAGAAAUUGACGGGGGCUCACACAAGCGGUGGAGGAUGUGGCUUAAUUCGAGGCUACGCGAAGAACCUUAUCCUAGUCUUGACAUGCUUGGAUUAACCCUAUGAAAGUAGGGCCACGCCUUCGGGUGGAACAAGCACAGGUGC